ensembl:lncRNA
GGAGGGGGAGGUCUUCGCCCUGCAGGCAUUCUCCUUUCAAAGGCAGGAUUUUCAGGGACAUGACGCCUAAGGGGCUCUACUGGGAACAAAGGGCUCUGCUGUACACUGGACAGGCCAGAGUGCUGUCCAGGAGGGACUGGCAUCUCUUCCUGACAUCUCACCCCCAUUCCAGGAGACCCUGGAGCAGGAAUCCCAGAGAACUCAGCAGGAGACUUUCAGAGGAGCAUUUAUUUGGCAAAGUAACAGGUGCGCUCAGAAUGCUAACCAGUUCUGUUUUUCAAACUCCUGCAGGUCAGAAAAGAAGACAUCCGGCAGCACCAGCCUACAAAUAAGAACUGAAAACCAUGAUCUCCCAGGAUCCCUGUUUCUCUGUUUUUCCACUUUCAAUCUCUCUCCCUCUCACUUUUUUCAGCUCCUCAGGGUCAGAAGCUUUGUUCCAUCUAUUCCUCCCUGUCCCAGAAAACAGAGCCUGGCUUUUCUGCUGCUUUCAGAUUACUUUGCUGGAAGAACUUGGUGUGAAAGGUUUUCUCCCUGCUCGGAGGGAAAUGGAAGCCUAGUCCUGCCUUUGAGCUGUGCCUGGGAACAUUCCGGUCCUGCCCCCAGGCCCAUGGAAGAUAAGUGUCCUGCAAAGGUGUAUGGUGUGACUUGAGCUUGGGACACCGGGGCCCAGCUCUGCUGCUUACUGGCUGGUUGACCUUGAACAUAUCCCUGGGCCUCUCUGAGGGCCCAGCUGUUUAUCCACAGCUUCCUCCCUCCUGGCAGCAGUCUCAUCCCACAGCCUGCUCUGCUGAUCUCUUCCAAGAGACAUGGGCAGCGUCUGCAACUGAACCCAAGAUCCCUGGGAAACUCGACAGCCGCUCACCCCCACAUGCUUUCUCCUGGCUCCCCACCCCGAAAAUGCACUGCCAUGGACCAGAGGAACGCUUCAGUGGCCAGCCACUGGUAUGUUUUCAAGUUCCCACCUGCUGUCAUUUUGUCCUGAGCCUGUU